CGGACGGGUGAGUAACGCGUGGGGAACCUGCCCUGUACAGGGGGAUAACACUUAGAAAUAGGUGCUAAUACCGCAUAAGCGCACAGUAUCGCAUGAUACAGUGUGAAAAACUCCGGUGGUACAGGAUGGACCCGCGUCUGAUUAGCUGGUUGGCGGGGUAACGGCCCACCAAGGCGGCGAUCAGUAGCCGGCCUGAGAGGGUGAACGGCCACAUUGGGACUGAGACACGGCCCAAACUCCUACGGAAGGCAGCAG
rnacentral:rRNA from 1 species